GGGGGCGCAAUUGGUUUCGACGGGGAUGAGAUGUGUUUGAGAAGCGAGUCGAGGGAACCUGUGGACCCGCGUUAAAAAACUAUGGGAUUAAAUUUAAACGCAAACAAUAACGAAGAUUUAGCUUUAGCAGCCUAGUCUGCUAACCGUCAGCCUGGAAUUCCCGCGAUUCAGGAUCUGGCGCCGAUAGCGGGGUACCGAGUCCAGUAAAGCUUUGAACUGGAAACGGAAUUUAUGAAGCUACUGAAUUCAGAAGCCUGUCCUUAGGCGUCUGAAAGAGGGAAUGUUAAACUAAGGACUGCACUCGGAGAUGCUCAAAUGCUUCCAUUUUCGGACAGGGGUUCGACUCCCCUCGCCUCCACCA
rnacentral:tmRNA from 1 species